CCCUGUGCGCCUGCAGCUCCCUUCCCUCCCUCCCGAGCCAGCACACAUCUGCCCCACAGCAGGAGCACCACUCCUUCCUCCCGACCCAGCAGCAUGGAGAGCCAGAGAUUUAUGUACUCCGCGAUUUUUAUGUGCUCUCAAGAAGGGCUGCGGAGGGAAAACUCCGCCACUCACAAAAGCCUCCAUCUGCUUUGCCAGCAAACAUCCAGCUCCAGUGAAAUCCAGCUUGUGUCACAUUCCUUUUUCCACUUUCAUAACCACAGCCCUCAACUUUUUAGGUUUUGUUCCUGCCUCUCCCACUUCCCACACACGCUUCCUUCUGCCCACUGGCUGAAGCACAAUGACCAGUGGCAUUUCCUACACACAUUUUUUCAGUUCCACUCUCUCUCUCCAAAGUGAAACAGCAUCAGGAUUCCAUGGGGAUGUCAUUGCUCCUCUGCCAGCACAGACAGGACAUCUCUCCCUGAGCCACACCUGUCUGGGGAGCCUUCCCAACACAAGAACCAGGCACUAAAGGGAAUCAACCCCACGGCCACCCUCCUGCCUUGUUGGCAACAUCCCAACACGGACAGCAGACUGACUUCUCCCACUAAUUAGACAUCCCAGCAGAGUUCAGGGGGUAUCUCAAGCCAGGAAGGCACAAUCCCCGGAAGACCAACCCUCCCCACCUCAUCCUGCCCCUUUCACUGGAAUCUGCAGGCUCUGGGAAUCUGCCUUCCACGACAGAGAGCGAGCUGCUGGAGACAGCAAGAUGUUUCAAUCAGCAGAUCUCUGGUGUCUGAGGCAAACCCAUUCCUUGCUGAUAAGGAAUGAAUACUGUCUGUGUCUGUCCGGCAUCCAGACACUUCUGCAAAGGCAAAGAAAAAGAGGAAAUACGUAAAGAAGGAAAAGCCACCUGCCCCACACAGGUCUCUUAUCUUCACUGUGAAUGUGUGGGUCCCAUUCUGACACCACCAGGCAGGAGCCCUCAGGUGUCAGGCUCUUCUCUCACCUUCCACACUUCAGGAGGCAGCACUGCCUAUUCCAGCACUUCCCACGGACCCACCCCGGGGCACAGCACUAUCACAUUUCACAGUGGUGCAGCUUUUCCAGCCCCAAGCCCUGCCUUGAGCAGUGCCACGAACUGAACAGGCUGCAGGAGUGCCAGGGCUGGGAUCCAGCCCUGUGGCCCGCUCUGAGUGAGGCUCCCCCGUGGCUGGUGCAGCCCCGCUGGCUCCCAGCCCACUGCAGAGAUGUUCCCCCUUCCCACUAAAUGUUCUCCUGUUCCUUCCCAUUCCCUCCUCCCUGCCACCCCUAAUGCAGGACCAGGGGAGCUGACAGGCAGGAUCAGGCACAUGGACAUCUUGUCCAGUGUCCAAUUUGGGGAUGUGCCAGGCUGAAGGACAAGAUUCCUACCGACAGCACAUAUGCAAAUCAGCGCUCCUUCUGCAGUUUUUAAUAGCCCAAAACUGGUUUAACUCUGCAAACACAAAGACCAAAAUCCCUUUCAAAAUGUGUGUUACUGUUCCAAAAAUUCUGGCUACUUUUGAUAUGCAAAUACCAACCCAGCCUCCUUAUAAAA